AUGAUGAUCUCCACUCCUCUCUUGGGAUUGCUGCUCCUCUGGCUUUCAGGUGCCAGAUGCAACAUCAAGAUAACUCAGUCUCCAGCCUCUCUGUCUGUGUCUCUGGGAGACAGUGUCACCAUGACAUGCCAGGCCAGUCAAAACAUUUACAGUAGUUUAGCAUGGUAUCAGCAGAAACCAGGGAAUCCUCCCAAGCUCCUAAUCUAUGGUGCAAACAGCUUGGCCAAUGGGGUCCCAACGAGGUUCAGUGUGGCAGUGGAUCCCGCACAGUAUUCUCUCACGAUCAGCAACCUGCAGUCUCAAGAUAUUGCAAAAUAUUACUUCCUACAGGGUAGGUAUUCCCCAUCUACAGUGAUUGAAGCCAUGACAUAA